CCACCUGGGAUGGCCCGGGCAGCUUUGAUCAGCUCGGCUGAGUGAGGUCAAUUGAGAUGUUCCCACCGCCCCAAAGGACUGUCACCAGGAGAAGCUACAUGUCAGGGAGCCAGGAAAGCAUGGAGAUGGUUCAGCGAAGCCCGGAGGAAUGACUUCAAGGGUGUCAAGCAAAGAAGGGGCAAAACGGGGACUCCCGGCCAAAGAAAAAGGAUUUGCAAGGGCACGGAGGCACGCGAAGAGCGAGGACAAGGCGGAAACCACAAGGAGAGACUGGACUGUAGGGUCCCCAAUCCGUAUGUGAGCACAAGCUGCGUCCAGGAUUCGGCAAGCGUCCUACCAGCGACACCUAACAGUGAGGACGCCGUGUCUAGGACGUACUGGGAGACGCAACAAGGCUCAGAUCACUGUCUCCAAGCUGGUCCUCGCAGCGUAACAGUGCCUCACCUCGCGCACCCCACCCAGCCCACCCAGAACAGUGUGAGGAAUGGCACCCAGCAGCGGGUGGGAGGAGCCAGGACGCGUGUGAGACAGAACCACACAGCCCAGGCCACUUACUGGGGCACCAGAAACCAGCCUUGUCUAAGGGGGAGUCCUGAACACACACCACUUUGGACGAAAAACUGCUUUUCUGUAUUUGUGAUGCGGACAAUAUCAGACAUCAGAACCAACGUCCGGACCACCCCGGUCCGACCAACUUGGAGCACGAGGGACAUCACAGGAUGAACCAGACCUUCACUCGGGCAGAGCAAGGAUGGGGUAGUGUGGGAUCAGCCAGCAAAAGAGAGUCAGGUGACCUCCCAGGAGAUCAGAUGAGAUUUGCUUUUGGAGAAGUGCAGGCUCAGCGGACACAGAGGCAUCACUCAUCUAUGAAAGAACUCCACGCAGCAUUUUGCCAAACGGCUCAGAGUUUCAGGAUAAAGCGAAACCCCGGGGACGGAGCCUUUCCAGCCAAAAUCAGCUUUGGCACAAAAGCAGGAAGCGAGAAGUCCACGUGCUCAGGCACGAACACCUGCUACCCGGCCACCACUUCCACAGCAAGUCCAGGCUCUGUGAGCAGCGCUGCGGCCCCCGGGCCUCGGGGAGGACGAGCAAACCCUUGCCGGGGGAGCACUGCAGAGAGAGUCUGACAGGCUUUAAAAGACGCGACGAGGAAGAACCGCUCCCCGUGGAUGUUACGCACGCGGGAAAAGGCCAGGACCAGAAACUCCGUUAGGAAGAAGGGUUAUCCAAGCCCAAAUAGAAAGGAUACGCCGUCGAAUCACGUGGGCUUUUCAACUCAGCCCAAAUAUGUGGCAGAUAAGGACGAGACGAAAUUUCCCUUGCUAGCAUCACAUAAAGGAAUCCCUCCUAGCAGAAUCACUUCAUGAUAAUUCCUUCCCGUCAACCGAUAAUUGUACCAUUCUACACAACAUAUAUCAUUCUGCGUCUGGUGUCCUGUAAGAUUCUCAAGAAGUCAUGGCUGCUUUGUCUCCCUAAGUUGAGGGCCCACCUUUGGUCUCAUUUGAGAACAUCGAUCUGUGUGCAGCUGGUGCUUAUGAGGAGGUGUUGGAUGUCUGUUCAAUGAGUGCUGAGUGUAACGUAACCCAAACGGCUUUGGAAUUCUGUCUCAGCCUCCUCUCUGCCGCCGCCUACUUUUUCUAGGGCAGGGUAAUGGAAAUUAGUUCAAGAAACGGAAAAAGUGUGAUUUCAGUAACUCCACUGAGCUGGUUUCCCUCCGGGAAAAGGACAGCUAAACUGACUAUUGCCAGAAAAUAAACAAGUGCUGUGUGCGCUCUAUUAGUUAUUUAAA